GGAAACAAUUUGUCCACCACCGAGUAAAUGAGAUCUUGAAGCUAACGAACAAAGGGGAUUGGGGGCAUUGUCCCGGGGUUGAAAAUCCUGCUGACAUUGGGUCUAGAGGUGUAAUUGCUUCACAAUUGAAAGAUAACAAGCUAUGGUGGGUGGGGCCAGAUUGGCUAACUAAGUCAAAAGAGGAGUGGCCAAAAUUUGAGGCUACUGAUAAGACAAAGACAGUUUUGGAAGAGGAACGAAAGUCUGUAGUUAUGGUUGUAAAGGUGACAGAGCCAGCUAGUAUAAGUAGAGUGAUUGACUUGAAUGAUUAUGGGACAGCAGAACGACUUUUUGGGGUAACAGCUUGGGUACUCAGGUUUGGGUUUAAUGUACGAGCAAAAGCAAGGGGCAUUGAUAGGCGAAGUGGAGAGUUGACAGUGAAUGAGUUAGUUGAGGCAGAGAAUAUAUGGAUUAAAGAGGCUCAGGCAGGGUUGAAAGUAGAUAGAAAGUACACCCAACUGAGUAAUAGUUUAGGUUUGAUGGAAGAGGAAGGC